CUGUAGUGCAUUGUAGUUGCAUUGCAUGUAUCUGUGCUUCUGUGCAAUGCGCCUGCGGUGCAAUACAG
rfam:Lepisosteus oculatus linkage group LG13, whole genome shotgun sequence.